UACGGAGGAUGCGAGCGUUAUCCGGAUUUAUUGGGUUUAAAGGGUGCGUAGGCGGGACCUUAAGUCAGCGGUAAAAUUGCGGUGCUCAACGCCGUAGAGCCGUUGAAACUGGGGUUCUUGAGUGAGCGAGAAGUAUGCGGAAUGCGUGGUGUAGCGGUGAAAUGCUUAGAUAUCAUGAAGAACUCCGAUCGCGAAGGCAAGUGUCCGGGGUGCAACUGACGCUGAGGCUCGAAAGUGCGGGUAUCAAACAGG
rnacentral:rRNA from 1 species